GGAAGAUUCUUUUUAGCUGGGCUUCUUCAGGAAGUUCAAGAUAUUGAUAGAUUUUCUCUGUGGGUCAUUGACUUUGCCUUAGGAGGAGUUGCCUAACCCCACCUUCAGGGGAUCUUCAGGAAGGGCGUGGGCUCUGGGUAACAGCAGAGACAGCGCCUAGUGAGCUAGGACUGGUCUGUGAGUAGGCGCAUCCUCCCAGGGCAUCUGCUGAAACGCUGAUGGCAAUGGUAACUCCCCGGGUCCUGCUGACAUCCCUCUGUAAAGAGAUGAUUCCCCUUGUCAAAUUAUCGACUUCCUCAAGGAGCAGCAGAUACAAGAAAGUGAGAGAACCAUCCCCAGAGGGAUGAAGCUGGUCAUGGAAACAGAUUGUUCCAAAAAGCAACAUCCAUUGUUUCAGUAUCAGAGGCAGGACCUGAAUUCUCACUCCUAUUUUCCUCGGGAAGACUGCAUUUUAUCGCUUUGUUAAAGUGUAUUCCCUUGUUUAUUUACAAUAAAUAUCCAUAAAUUCA